ensembl:rRNA 5S_rRNA 5S ribosomal RNA
AAACAAGGCCAUACUACCUUGAACGCGCCCAAUCUUUUCUGAUCUCGGAUAAUCUAAUCAAGACAAGGGUGUCUAAUCUUACCAUUUAUGUUUU